GGAGCCUUAGAUUUGAUGAAAAACAAAAACACGUGGUGAGACCAGUACCUGGCAUGUUGUAAGGGCUGAAUAAAUGUUAGCUGUUUUAUUACUGUCAUUAUUUGCUUUCUGGAAUAUUGUUCGUCAUACAAGGUAACAAACACCCCAUCGGAAUAAAGAGACAACUAUAAUCUGGAGCUAAAAGACCUAAUUCAUAAAUAGACAUAAGGGUGAAAAAAUUUUAGUAAUUUCCCCCAAAAAAACACCCAAAGCCUGAUGCUUUCUCUGAAAGAUCCCAUAGAAUUCUGCCAAAGUUCCAGAGAAACUUUAGAAAUUCCUCCUUUACGAUGGGGACCAGAGAUUCUGGCUCCCUGACCGGCAGGGGGAAGCAGGGCAUGUCCCCGCAUGACUUCGGGGCUGUUCCCUGUGUCCUUGUGAAUUUCCCUGAGUCACCAUUACUCACUGCCCACAAUCGGGCUCUGCUACCUUUCAACCAGGAGACCGAUGCCCUGGGAUCAAGGGCCAACCUCAAACAGAAAUGCGAUUGUGGAAUGUUCAGCACGGGCCGUAGACUGUCUCCGGCUCUGGGGAGCAGGGUGACCCUCGCCAGCGUCUUAUUUUUGGCCUCCCGGGUUGGGUUCCUGCCUACUGACUUGGCAAAUCCCGGGCGACUCGCCUUGUUUUCUCUCCUCACUUAAAUACAUGUCUGGAAAAAGCCUCCACCCCCACAGGCCCUGCUGUGUGUGGAAACGGUGACGGGCCUGGAGGAGGAGAAGCGAGGCGGCUGGCUCGAGAGCCUCCCUCUGUGUGAGGGGGAGCAGAGUUGGCUCAGGCUGGCGCUCUUAGGCCCAGCUGCUGGGGUCAGUGACACUCCCAGGGACCAGGCCUCUGUGCCUUCAGGCUCAGCCAGCGCCCCCACUCCAGCCCUUCUUCUCUCCUGCUCUGUCUGUGUUGACAAGAGACCAUCUCGGCCACCCUCACUGUCAGGCUCACACAUCUCUGGUGAGAGGGGCAGGUUCGCUCCUGGGUUGGGCGGCUGUGAGCCUGAAACCCAAGAAGCUGGCCCGCAGAGGCAUGUGCACGUGUUGAACGGCAAGGGGCUGGAUGGAAGGAGCUCAGGGCCCCCAGCCAAGGUGCCUGCUCCUGCCAGCUCUCAGCGGAACAGGAGGCAGGACAAGUGUGCCCACGACAGCCUUCCAGGGAAAACGAGGGGCCAAGCGGUCAGUGGUGGGUCUCUUGGGAGGCCCUUUGGACACGACAACUGCCCUCUCUCAUGGCCUCCAGACAUCAGGCCACUUCUUCCAGUGCCAGAGCUCACCCCUGCUGCCCUCAGUCUGAUGGCGUCUUCAUCCCAGAAUGCUAAGUCUCCAGCAGAUCGGUCCAUUCAUGAGUUCUGCGGAGCCUCUUGUCCGGGCUGGGGUGGACACCGGGACAGUUUCCAAGCCUCAGGACACCCUACCCCACCCCACCCCUCCAUUUGCCCUGGGAGGGGGGAACUGACAAAGAGGAAUGUGGGGCUCCCCAUUCCCCAGCCCGAGAGUCACAGGAGUCCAGAAAAACAGGGGCGGCAUCGAGAGGGGCUGGACGUGAUGCCCCCUCUCCCUCAGCUCCACCAGGCUUUGAUAGGAACCAUCCUUAUUUCACGUGAGGGCGCUCUGCAAAUGCAGUUUCCAGCCUCUGCCCACAUGGAGAGCACGGCUCCCCACCUUCCCCGCUCCAUGUCAGGUCUAAGAGCUGUCUCCUUGUCUGUCUCGUUCACUACAGCGUGACUUCCUGAAGGCAGGGUUUUGUCUAAUUCAUCCUUGAUUGCACAGCGUGGGCACAGAGGAGGCAUGCCCUGGGCACGGUGGAAUGAAAACUCUGUGUGGUACCUCGUUGUUGCCUGUGUCAGCCUGCGGGGACCGGCAUUACCAUUCCCAUGUAUCCUCCCCGUUAAAAGACGAGCAGACUGAGGCCCAGGGAGUUUAAGAGCCUUGUCUGGGGCCACACAGUUAACAAGUAGCAGACCUGGGCCUUUAACCACAGUCUGUGAAACUCCAGAGCAUUCACUCCCGUGCUUAGAAGGUGCCUGAUAAAGCCCCUGGCACACAAUGGGUGCUUAAUAAACAGGGGCUGUUGUGAUAAACAAUCCUGAUCUCCUUGAGGUUGCAUUUUAGUUCCCCUUUUAAAGAUAAGAAAUGGAGGCCCAGAGAGGUUCCAUAACUUGCCCAAGACCACACAGUUACUAAGUGGUGGAGCCAGGGCGGGUUUGCACCCGAGUCUUAUCUGACUUUACAAGCCAUGCUCAAACCACUGCACACACUCUCCUUUUGGGGAAUGCUGCAGGCCCUGCUCAACUGCGCCCCAACAGUCAAUGAUGUUCUCUUCCUGCAGGGCCCCAUAUCUGGAAUUUUCUCUCGCUUGUCUCUUCCUCCUGGGCAGCACCUGGGCUUUUGACUCAGCUUCCCCAGAGCGGGCCCUCCUCCAGCCAGCACCCCAGCGCAGGCCGCCUCUCUACUUGGCCCUCAGUCAUGCCUCGAGGCCCUUCUCCCAAAGCUCUUUCAACACAGCCAAACAGUCCUGGCUUUGAACUUCUCAACAACAAUUUCUUCGUCAAAGGUGACCUUUGGAGAGAUGUCAGGAGCAAGAUAACAGCAGUGACAGGCCACCGUGAAGGGUGACACGUGGCACGAGGGGAUCAGACUGCCUGGUGAGUGCCUUGUUUCCUCCUCGGCGGCAAUCCCACUUCUGAAUACACAUCCAAAAGAGUUUAAAGGUGGGUGUUGAAGAAAUAUUUGCACACCCGUGUUCAUUGCAGUGUUAUCCACAAUUCCACUGAGAGAGGAAGCAAUCCAAAUGCCCAUCGAGGAUAAUGGAUAAACAAAACGUGGUAUAUACACACAAUGGAAUAUUACUCAGCCUUAAAAAGGAAGGAAAUCCCGUCACAUGCCACAACAUAGAUGAACCUCGAGGACGUUAUGCGAAGUGAAAUAAGCCAGACCCAAAAGGACAAAUUCCGCAUAAUCACACUUAUAGGAAAUAUCUAAAGUGGUCAAGUUCACAGAAACAGAAAGUAGAAGAGUGGUUACCAGAGACUAGGGGGAGGGGAAAAUGGGGAAUUGUUGUUUAAUGGGUAUAGAGUUUCAGUUUUGCAACAUAAAAAUGUUCUAGAGAGUCAUUGCAUAACAGUGUGGAUACGCUUAACACUACUCAACUGUAUGGUUAAAAAUGGUGAAGAGGGUAAAUUUUACGUGUUUUUACCAUAAUUAAAAAUAAAUGUAUAAAAGGGGGGAAGCUUGUUGAUUUCCUCACUUUGGAGGUAUUUAUAAGACGGACCAAGCUGGUCACUCCGUGUACACUAUUUCCUUCAACUCUCGCCAUGACUUACCGCGGUGGGUUUCAGUAUCUCUUUCUCACAGCCUGGGAACUUGCAGCCCAGUGAGAGAAACUGACUCAGCCACAGUCUCAAGGAACUUAGCGAGGGGAAGAGUGUAAGUUCCUUGGUGACGAGCCAUAUGCGUCUUCUAUGUCUUGACUUGCUGGGGGAAUUAAGUUGAGGUACUAGGCACACAGAGUCGGUGGGUAACAAGCUCUUGAGAACUAGUGGAUUUUUUUAAACUUCGCAAAGCGCCAGAAUGGGUUUUCACAGAAAAUCCCAUUUAAGUCCCUUCAACUCACGAGCAUCUUCCCAUACAUUAACCUAUUUGCUCCUGACAGAGUCCCUGGAUAUAAGAGAUCCUUGCCAUCUCCAUGUUACAGAGGAGGGACAUGCUUGAGGUCCCCCAGCUGGGAUCACAAUUACUGGAAGCAGGCGUCUCAGGACCCCAAAAUCUGUGAGGC
rnacentral:lncRNA from 1 species